rnacentral:lncRNA from 1 species
AUGAGCCUCCAGCUCCGAGACCACCCCCGGCGUGCCCAGCUCCGGGGCCAGGACCCCGCACGGAGCCUUCGUCUCCCACGAGCGCUCCUGGCUGAGGGUGGCUGUGGAUUUUGGGGCCGGCGGAGGAGACGGGGGUUUGACCGGGACAAGAUAAGGGCUGAUGUGUUUGUGGCUGGGGUGGGGGCUGCCCGAAGCCUUGGUGCCUUUCAGCAGGGAUCAGGGUGGGAGCGUGGACACCCCGGUGUCCUGCCUGCGGGUGUCUUGUUGUCCCCACGUGCCGUCCUCCCUCCUCUGCAGCCUCGGGCAUCAGCAGGACGCGGGGCCAAGAGCAGCCCCCAGCAGGAGACCCCAAAACCCCCAUGGCAUCACUUGUCCCAGCACGGGGGACCACCGGGACCACGCUCCCCUGCAGCCAAACCCUGUCCCCACGCCACCACCAGGCUGUGGGGCCUGUCCCCUUCGGCGCUGGUGACCCCGUGCGCUGCAGCAGGGCUGCUCCGGAUUCACCCCAAAACCCAGCUCCUGGCUGUUGGGGAUGGGGUGGGAGGGAUCUGCCCCUUGUCGCAGCUCAGCCCUGAGAUGCCAAGACCGGGACCACCCAAAUUUUGGGCCUCGGGGGAUAGCGGCGAGGCUCGUCCCCCACCCCCAGGCAGGGGCUGCAGGUGGCAGGGGAGGACAAACCCGGGCACGGGGCACAGCCGGUGGCUGCGGAUCUGCCCCGUGCCGGAGCAGCUGGGCACCACGGGGACGGGCGCCUUGGCUUCACCCCUCAGGGGGGAGCCCCCCAGCUCCCGGCCUCCCGCACCCGCUGGUGGGAUCCCAGUGGUACCAGUGGGCUCGAGACCCGGGAAUGGAGGCAUCCCCCCCCCGCUGGGUGCACUGCCCCUGUCUGCACCGUGCGUUUCCCAACGGGAGCAAAAUGCCAGCACGGGACCUCAGCUCCGACCCCUUCUGAGCCGGGUCCCCAGCCUCGGGCACGGGGACCCCCAGAGCCGCCAGGUCCCCAUCCCUGGGCUCCUCCCUACGUUUUGGAUUUGA